rnacentral:rRNA from 1 species
GAUUGCAGGCUGCAACCCGCCCUGCAUGAAGUCGGAAUUGCUAGUAAUCGCGGAUCAGCAUGCCGCGGUGAAUACGUUCCCGGGGCCUUGUACACACCGCCCGUCACACCAUGGGAGCCGGUAAUACCCGAAGUCAGUAGUCCAACCUCGUGAGGACGCUGCCGAAGGUAGGAUUGGCGACUGGGGUGAAGUCGUAACAAGGUACC